rnacentral:rRNA from 1 species
UUAACACAUGCAAGUCGAGGGGAAACGACAUCGAAAGCUUGCUUUUGAUGGGCGUCGACCGGCGCACGGGUGAGUAACGCGUAUCCAACCUGCCCACCACUUGGGAAUAACCUUGCGAAAGUAAGACUAAUACCCAAUGAUAUCUCUAGAAGGCAUCAGAAAGAGAUUAAAGAUUUAUCGGUGAUGGAUGGGGAUGCGUCUGAUUAGCUUGUUGGCGGGGUAACGGCCCACCAAGGCUACGAUCAGUAGGGGUUCUGAGAGGAAGGUCCCCCACAUUGGAACUGAGACACGGUCCAAACUCCUACGGGAGGCAGCAGUGAGGAAUAUUGGUCAAUGGACGAGAGUCUGAACCAGCCAAGUAGCGUGCAGGAUGACGGCCCUAUGGGUUGUAAACUGCUUUUAUAAGGGAAUAAAGUGAGUCUCGUGAGGCUUUUUGCAUGUACCUUAUGAAUAAGGACCGGCUAAUUCCGUGCCAGCAGCCGCGGUAAUACGGAAGGUCCGGGCGUUAUCCGGAUUUAUUGGGUUUAAAGGGAGCGUAGGCCGGAGAUUAAGUUCGUUGUGAAAUGUAGACGCUCAACGUCUGCACUGCAGCGCGAACUGGUUUCCUUGAGUACGCACAAAGUGGGCGGAAUUCGUGGUGUAGCGGUGAAAUGCUUAGAUAUCACGAAGAACUCCGAUUGCGAAGGCAGCUCACUGGAGCGCAACUGACGUUGAAGCUCGAAAGCGCGGGUAUCGAACAGGAUUAGAUACCCUGGUAGUCCGCACGGUAAACGAUCGAUGCCCGCUGUUGGUUUGCAUUGGUCAGCGGCCAA